GAUGAAGAACGUAGCGAAAUGCGAUAAGUAAUGUGAAUUGCAGAAUUCCGUGAAUCAUCGAAUCUUUGAACGCACAUUGCGCCCCCUGGCAUUCCGGGGGGCAUGCCUGUCCGAGCGUCACUUCUGCCCUCAAGCACGGCUUGUGUGUUGGGUGUGGUCCCCCCGGGGACCUGCCCGAAAGGCAGCGGCGACGUCCGUCUGGUCCUCGAGCGUAUGGGGCUCUGUCACUCGCUCGGGAAGGACCUGCGGGGGUUGGUCACCACUAUAUUUUACCACGGUUGACCUCGGAUCAGGUAGGAGUUACCCGCUGAACUUAAGCAUAUCAAUAAGCGGAGGA
rnacentral:misc_RNA from 1 species